rnacentral:rRNA from 1 species
UACGUAGGUCCCGAGCGUUGUCCGGAUUUAUUGGGCGUAAAGCGAGCGCAGGUGGUUUAUUAAGUCUGGUGUAAAAGGCAGUGGCUCAACCAUUGUAUGCAUUGGAAACUGUUAGACUUGAGUGCAGAAGGGGAGAGUGGAAUUCCAUGUGUAGCGGUGAAAUGCGUAGAUAUAUGGAGGAACACCGGUGGCGAAAGCGGCUCUCUGGACUGUAACUGACACUGAGGCUCGAAAGCGUGGGUAGCAAACAGG